rnacentral:pre_miRNA from 1 species
AGGAGGAACAGCCCCAGUGGCGGGGCAGGUCUGGAAACCUGGAUUCAGCUCCGGUAGGAACUCCGUCUGCAGGGCCUGGAGGCUCCGGGGCGGG